rfam:Triticum aestivum genome assembly, contig: Triticum_aestivum_CS42_TGACv1_scaffold_623456_7DS
CUAGUACUCCCUUCGUCUCAAAAUUCUUGUCUUAAAUUUCUCUAGAUAAGGAUGUAUCUAACACUAAAACGUAACUAGAUAUAUCCGUAUUUAGACAAAUUUAAGACAAGAAUUUUCGGACGAAGGGAGUAGUAU